GAUGAACGCUGGCGGCGUGCCUAAUACAUGCAAGUCGAGCGAACAGACGAGGAGCUUGCUCCUCUGACGUUAGCGGCGGACGGGUGAGUAACGCGUGGAUAACCUACCUAUAAGACUGGGAUAACUUCGGGAAACCGGAGCUAAUACCGGAUAAUAUAUUGAACCGCAUGGUUCAAUAGUGAAAGACGGUUUUGCUGUCACUUAUAGAUGGAUCCGCGCCGCAUUAGCUAGUUGGUAAGGUAACGGCUUACCAAGGCAACGAUGCGUAGCCGACCUGAGAGGGUGAUCGGCCACACUGGAACUGAGACACGGUCCAGACUCCUACGGGAGGCAGCAGUAGGGAAUCUUCCGCAAUGGGCGAAAGCCUGACGGAGCAACGCCGCGUGAGUGGUGAAGGUCUUCGGAUCGUAAAACUCUGUUAUUAGGGAAGAACAAAUGUGUAAGUAACUAUGCACGUCUUGACGGUACCUAAUCAGAAAGCCACGGCUAACUACGUG
rnacentral:rRNA from 1 species